rnacentral:rRNA from 1 species
GACGAACCGUGCGAACGUUGUUCGGAAUCACUGGGCUUAAAGGGCGCGUAGGCGGGCUGACAAGUCUGGGGUGAAAUGCCACGGCUCAACCGUGGAACUGCCUUAGAUACUGACGGCCUCGAGGAAGGUAGGGGCAUGCGGAACUGUAGGUGGAGCGGUGAAAUGCGUUGAUAUCUACAGGAACUCCGGUGGCGAAAGCGGCGUGCUGGACCUUUUCUGACGCUGAGGCGCGAAAGCUAGGGGAGCAAACGGG